rnacentral:rRNA from 1 species
GACGAACGCUGGCGGCGUGCUUAACACAUGCAAGUCGAACGGAAAGGCCCUGCUUUUGUGGGGUGCUCGAGUGGCGAACGGGUGAGUAACACGUGAGUAACCUGCCCUUGACUUUGGGAUAACUUCAGGAAACUGGGGCUAAUACCGGAUAUGAGCCCCUGCUGCAUGGUGGGGGUGGGAAAGUUUCGGCGGUGGGGGAUGGACUCGCGGCUUAUCAGCUUGUUGGUGGGGUAGUGGCUUACCAAGGCUUUGACGGGUAGCCGGCCUGAGAGUGUGACCGGCCACAUUGGGCCUGAGAUACGGACCAGACUGCUACGGGAGGCAGCAGUGGGGAAUAUUGCACAAUGGGCGGAAGCCUGAUGCAGCAACGCCGCGUGCGGGAUGACGGCCUUUGGGUUGUAAACCGCUUUCGCCUGUGACGAAGCGUGAGUGACGGUAAUGGGUCAAGAAGCACCGGCUAACUACGUG